CCUACGGGAGGCAGCAGUAGGGAAUCUUCCACAAUGGACGAAAGUCUGAUGGAGCAACGCCGCGUGAGUGAAGAAGGGUUUCGGCUCGUAAAGCUCUGUUGGUAGUGAAGAAAGAUAGAGGUAGUAACUGGCCUUUAUUUGACGGUAAUUACUUAGAAUGUCACGGCUAACUACGUGCCAGCAGCCGCGGUAAUCCGUAGGUGGCAAGCGUUGUCCGGAUUUAUUGGGCGUAAAGCGAGUGCAGGCGGUUCAAUAAGUCAGAAGUGAAAGCCCUCGGCUCAACCGGGGAAUUGCAUCAGAAGCUGUUGAACGUGAGUGCAGGAGAGGAGAGUGGAACUCCAGGUGUAGCGGUGGAAUGCGUAGAUAGAAGGAAGAACACCAGUGGCGAAGGCGGCUCUCUGGUCUGCAACUGACGCUGAGGCUCGAAAGCAUGGGGAGCGAACAGGAUUAGAUACCCUUGUAGUC
rnacentral:rRNA from 1 species